rnacentral:misc_RNA from 1 species
GAUGAAGAACGUAGCGAAAUGCGAUAAGUAAUGUGAAUUGCAGAAUUCAGUGAAUCAUCGAAUCUUUGAACGCACAUUGCGCCCGCCAGUAUUCUGGCGGGCAUGCCUGUUCGAGCGUCAUUUCAACCAUCAAGCCCCAGGCUUGUGUUGGGGACCUGCGGCUGCCGCAGGCCCUGAAAACCAGUGGCGGGCUCGCUGUCACACCGGGCGUAGUAGAUUUUAUCUCGCUCUGGGCGUGCUGCGGGUUCCGGCCGUUAAAAAACCCUUUUAACCCAAGGUUGACCUCGGAUCAGGUAGGAAUACCCGCUGAACUUAAGCAUAUCAAUAAGCGGA